rfam:Salmo salar isolate Sally breed double haploid chromosome ssa15, whole genome shotgun sequence.
UGACAAAUGUACUGUAAGUCACUCUGGAUAAGAGUGUCUGCUAAAUGACAAUGU